AGUUCUUCGAAUCCGUGCUGAGAUUUUGUCAGUCACCAACCCAUUAGGGCUGAUCAAACUUCCAAGGUAAGUGAAGUU
rnacentral:pre_miRNA from 1 species